rnacentral:sRNA from 1 species
ACUGCUUCCAAACUCUCGAGACUCCAGCGCGGGAGCUUCUGGGUUGACCGCGGAGGCGACAACUGGCAACUCCUCUCACCAAGCCGGCAUUGCCUCAGAUCCCACAGUCUACCGCUGAAUUCCAUUCCAUUAUUCCAAUGCAAUAACACCCCCUUGUGCGACUUGCCCGGAGCACCCAGUAUCCGCUUCGUUGUCUUUUUUCUUUUUCUUCUUCCUUUUUGGAUGUGCUAAAAAUUUUAUCUCUAUAUGGCUCUCUUGUCUAGCCUCUCCCGUCCCAAUCGCUCUCUCUGUCUCUCGCCCAUAUUAGUCCAUGGCUAGAGGAAAGGCCCUGGACCAGCCCGACGCGGGCUUAAAAGGCCUGGACCAUUAUCAACAGAAACUCCCUAGAUGGCGGUACAAGCUACGGACUGCCCUGUUGCCCUUGGUGCGGUGGGAAACGCCUUAUCUUGCUUGGUUCCAGGAGCAAAUGCGCAAUCCAUCUCUUGAUUCUUGGUUUGCGAUCACCGCCAACCUAGGGACCCAUACCUUCUAUAUGAUAAUGCUACCUGUUCUUUUUUGGUGUGGCUAUACAGAGGUCGGUCGAGGAAUCGUCCAUCUCUUAGCAUCAGGCGUCUUCAUCAGCGGCUGGUUUAAGGAUAUGUUAUGUCUUCCUCGACCUUUGUCUCCACCUCUCCAUCGAAUUACCAUGUCUGGCUCCGCGGCGUUAGAAUACGGGUUUCCCUCUACUCACUCGACCAAUGCCAUCUCAGUCGUCGUUUACGGACUUUACCUUUUAAACUCGCCUGACUCGACUGUCGAUCCGGUUGCGAGAAUUAUCUUCCACGUUAUCCUGUAUAUAUUCGGGACAUCCAUUGUUAUUGGGAGGCUGUACUGCGGGAUGCAUGGGUUUUUCGACGUUAUCACUGGCAGUUUCCUGGGCGCUUUGUUGGGCUAUGUACGAUGUUCAUACGGGGAGAGCUAUGACGAACUUAUCUAUUCGGGCUCGAUAAAUGUGAUAUUUGCAGUAGUUGCGGUUGUUCUUGCAUUGGUUCGAAUGCACCCUGAGCCCGCAGAUUCGUGCCCUUGCUUCGACGAUAGUCUUGCAUUCGCAGGGGUGUUGAUGGGCGCGGAGUUCGGGAACUGGCACUUCGCUCAAACCACUUUUGCAAGCAAUGACCCUUAUCCAGGGACGGUUCCAUAUGAUUUGGCAAAACUCGGUUGGGCCAAAACUAUUUUGCGGAUUAUCCUUGGAGUCGUGAUUGUCUUCUUGUGGAGGGAAAUAAUGAAACCAUCCCUUCAUAAGUUGCUGCCGCCUGUAUUUCGAGUAAUCGAACGGCUGGGCCUCAAUCUUCCCAGAAGAUUCUUCAUUCUCGCAUCCGAAUAUGAAAAAGUCCCCGGCCAUCUCAAAGAUGACGACGUAAUCCCCAAUGUCUCCGAAAUCCCUUCCAUCCUCACCUCAAUCCGCCACCCGCGCAGAAGAGCAGUUUCCGUAGGCCCUCAAUCAGAAGCAGACGCCUACGAGACACUUGCUUAUCGGGAGAAACGACGACGGGAAAGCAUCUCGUCUAACCAAUCGCGCAGCGUCAGUGCUGGGCGCAGACUUCCUCCGACGAUCGAGGAUAAGCGAAACAAGCAUAACACGUCGCCCGCCGCCGCCACCGCCGCCACCCCUGGGCGACCCGGAAGCAGGAAAACCAAUACGGCAGCGACGGACGGCAACUCGUUUUCGCCACCGGUCAUCAGGACCCCACGCAAACUUGAUGAGUAUGAACAUAUGAUGGGGACGGGGACGCCUGUCUUCAACACGGAAGCCACACUGAACAUGCAUGAUACUGGCGCUGGCGCGGACGUGAAUGUGAAUGUAGCCACGGGUGCAGCAGACACUCUUGAAUAUCAGCUCGAGGCGGAAGAGGAGAAGGAGAUGUUUUCGAAGAUCACACCGCCGCGAGUACGGUAUGAUGUGGAGGUUGUGACGAAGUUGGUUGUGUAUUUUGGAAUUGGAUGGCUGGCCGUGGAGUUUAUACCCAUUAUGUUUCAGCUGCUUGGAUUGGCUCUCUAGAAGUUUGUUCAGACUAUUUGGCACAUACACGACACGCACAUCACUAAAAUUUCGCUUUCUCAUAUGCAUGCGCAUAUAUAUCAGCAGGGCUGAUGUGACUACUAGAACUGGGGAUGUGAGGUACAUACAUAUAUCUGUAUUUCGUGCGGUACAUUGACGUUGAUGAGUAUGUUUGUUUACGGGUAGCUUUUCUUUCAUUGUUCCAUUUUUUCCAUCUUUUCUCUUGUGAAGCUGGCUAUUUUUUUUUUUUUUUUUUAAUUUUUUGAUGCCAAUAUUCUAUUUAUAUAUAUAUAUAAUUUUUCCUUUGGUCAAACACUAGAUAGGUCUCAAAUCAAAAAAUAGAUGCGUUGAAG